rnacentral:rRNA from 1 species
CCUACGGGCGGCUGCAGUGGGGAAUAUUGGACAAUGGGGGGAACCCUGAUCCAGCCAUGCCGCGUGUGUGAAGAAGGCCCUCGGGUUGUAAAGCACUUUCAGUGAGGAAGAACGCCUGGUGGUUAAUACCCAUCAGGAAAGACAUCACUCACAGAAGAAGCACCGGCUAACUCCGUGCCAGCAGCCGCGGUAAUACGGAGGGUGCGAGCGUUAAUCGGAAUUACUGGGCGUAAAGCGCGCGUAGGUGGCUUGAUAAGCCGGUUGUGAAAGCCCCGGGCUCAACCUGGGAACGGCAUCCGGAACUGUCAAGCUAGAGUGCAGGAGAGGAAGGUAGAAUUCCCGGUGUAGCGGUGAAAUGCGUAGAGAUCGGGAGGAAUACCAGUGGCGAAGGCGGCCUUCUGGACUGACACUGACACUGAGGUGCGAAAGCGUGGGUAGCAAACAGGAUGAGAUACCCCUGUAGUC